AUAUGCUAUUUUUUAUAUAGCAAGAAUAAAAUUGUGACAAAUUUAGUAAGCAUUGGUUUUUAUAGCAUUAAAGUCCAACAUCACAAACAAAAAAAAAAACACUUCAACAUGAACAAAAUAAUUACACCACACUUGUUUAGACCCAUUUCUUUGGCGGUAGUUCGAAACUAUGGAAAAGUGGAGAGGUUUAUGUGGUGCCAGAAGGAGAUCCCAGGGCGUCCGAAAGCGGUGUUCUUGAAUGGCAAAGAAAUUCCCAUAAUAGGACUUGGAACUUGGAUGAGCCCCAAAGGUCAGGUCACCGAGGCUGUGAAAAUCGCCAUCGAUGCUGGAUACAGGCACAUUGACUGUGCCCAUGUCUACCAGAACGAGGAUGAGGUCGGCGAGGGUAUUGAAACCAAGAUCAAGGAGGGAGUUGUCAAGCGUGAGGACCUGUUCAUUACCAGCAAACUGUGGAACACCUACCAUCGCCCGGAUCUGGUCAGGACUGCCGUUGACAAUACGCUGUCUGCCCUGAAGCUGAAGUACCUGGAUCUCUACCUGAUCCACUGGCCCAUGGCCUACAAGGAGGGCUGUGAACUCUUCCCGGUCGACAAGGAGGGCAAAGUACAGUUCUCACCGGUCGACUAUGUGGACACCUGGAAGGCUAUGGAGCAGCUGGUCGCGGAUGGUCUGGUCAAGUCAAUUGGUGUGUCCAACUUCAACAGGAAGCAGAUCGAGCGUGUGCUGGCUGUGGCCAAAAUUCCGCCGGCUACCAACCAGAUCGAAUGCCAUCCGUAUCUGACCCAGAAGAAACUGAUUGACUUCUGCAAGUCGAAGGACAUUGCGAUCACCGCCUACAGUCCUCUGGGCUCGCCCAACCGUCCCUGGGCCAAGGAAGGUGAUCCGGUCAUCCUGGAGGAGCCAAAGAUCAAGGAGCUGGCUGCCAAGCUGAAGAAGACUCCUGGACAGGUCCUGAUCCGUUACCAGAUCCAGCGCACCAACAUCGUUAUUCCCAAGUCGGUGACCAAGGACCGCAUCGAGUCCAACUUCCAGGUCUUUGAUUUCGUACUUUCCCCCGAGGACAUCGAGGUUAUCGAGAGUUUUGAGCGCAACGGCCGUCUGGUGCCUCUGCUGAAGGAGGCUGGUGCCCACAAGUACUAUCCCUUCCACGACGAGUAUUAAAAAUUUUCAAAUCGAUAUAUGCCAAACGAACAAUUUCGAAGAACAUUACUUAAUGAGAAGCCAUGCCUACUGAAAAUUAUACCUCUCAAGAUUCCCAAGAACAACGACAUAUGUAUAAUGAUAAUGGUGUAUAUCAUACCCAAUACGGUCAUCCCCAUCAUCCAUUUGAGAACGACGAAUACUAAUAGGCCACAAAACUGUGAAAAGUUCAAAUUAUUGAUUUGUUUCACAAACAUUUAAUCUUAAAAAGUAUAAAUAAAUAAACAAAAUUUAA